rnacentral:rRNA from 1 species
GACGAACGCUGGCGGCGUGCUUAACACAUGCAAGUCGAACGCUGAAGCUUGGUGCUUGCACUGGGUGGAUGAGUGGCGCACGGGUGAGUAAUAAGUGAGUAACCUGCCCUUGACUCUGGGAUAAGCCUGGGAAACUGGGUCUAAUACUGGAUACGACAUGUCACCGCAUGGUGGUGUGUGGAAAGGGUUUUACUGGUUUUGGAUGGGCUCACGGCCUAUCAGCUUGUUGGUGGGGUAAUGGCUCACCAAGGCGACGACGGGUAGCCGGCCUGAGAGGAUGACCGGCCACACUGGGACUGAGACACGGCCCAGACUCCUACGGGAGGCAGCAGUGGGGAAUAUUGCACAAUGGGCGGAAGCCUGAUGCAGCGACGCCGCGUGAGGGAUGACGGCCUUCGGGUUGUAAACCUCUUUCAGCACGGAAGAAGCGAAAGUGACGGUACGUGCAGAAGAAGCGCCGGCUAACUACGUG